UUGGAUCCGGAGGGACUCUUGCCGUAAAACCCCCAAUUUUCCAAAGGUUGACCUCGGAUCAGGUAGGAAUACCCGCUGAACUUAAGCAUAUCAAUAAGCGGAGGAAAAGAAACCAACAGGGAUUGCCCCAGUAACGGCGAGUGAAGCGGCAACAGCUCAAAUUUGAAAUCUGGCCCCAGGCCCGAGUUGUAAUUUGCAGAGGAUGCUUUUGGUGCGGUGCCUUCCAAGUUCCCUAGAACGGGACGCCAGAGAGGGUGAGAGCCCCGUACAGUUGGACACCAAGCCUUUGUAAAGCUCCUUCGACGAGUCGAGUAGUUUGGGAAUGCUGCUCAAAAUGGGAGGUAUAUUUCUUCUAAAGCUAAAUACCGGCCAGAGACCGAUAGCGCACAAGUAGAGUGAUCGAAAGAUGAAAAGCACUUUGAAAAGAGGGUUAAACAGCACGUGAAAUUGUUAAAAGGGAAGCGCUUGUGACCAGACUUGCGUCCGGUGAAUCACCCAGCUCUCGCGGCUGGGGCACUUCGCCGGCUCAGGCCAGCAUCAGCUCGCUGUCGGGGACAAAAGCUUCAGGAACGUAGCUCUCUUCGGGGAGUGUUAUAGCCUGUUGCAUAAUACCCUUCGGCGGGCUGAGGUACGCGCUCCGCAAGGAUGCUGGCAUAAUGGUCAUCAGCGACCCGUCUUGAAACACGGACCAAGGAGUCAACCUUAUGUGCGAGUGUUCGGGUGUCAAACCCCUACGCGUAAUGAAAGUGAACGCAGGUGAGAGCUUCGGCGCAUCAUCGACCGAUC
rnacentral:rRNA from 1 species